rnacentral:rRNA from 1 species
CUACGUGCCAGCAGCCGCGGUAAUACGGAGGAUGCGAGCGUUAUUCGGAAUCAUUGGGUUUAAAGGGUCUGUAGGCGGGCUAUUAAGUCAGGGGUGAAAGGUUUCAGCUUAACUGAGAAAUUGCCUUUGAUACUGGUAGUCUUGAAUAUCUGUGAAGUUCUUGGAAUGUGUAGUGUAGCGGUGAAAUGCUUAGAUAUUACACAGAACACCGAUUGCGAAGGCAGGGGACUAACAGACAAUUGACGCUGAGAGACGAGAGCGUGGGGAGCGAACAGGAUUAGAUACCCUGGUAGUCCACGCUGUAAACGAUGGAUACUAGCUGUUUGGCGCAAGCUGAGUGGCUAAGCGAAAGUGAUAAGUAUCCCACCUGGGGAGUACGCACGCAAGUGUGAAACUCAAAGGAAUUGACGGGGGCCCGCACAAGCGGUGGAGCAUGUGGUUUAAUUCGAUGAUACGCGAGGAACCUUACCAAGGUUUAAAUGGAGACUGACAGGUGUAGAGAUACG